CGGGACUUGGUAAUGUAUAAGGGU
rnacentral:piRNA from 1 species